rnacentral:rRNA from 1 species
UACGUAGGUGGCGAGCGUUGUCCGGAUUUACUGGGCGUAAAGGGCUUGUAGGCGGUCCGUUAAGUCCGAUGUGAAAUCUCCCGGCUCAACUGGGAGAGGUCAUUGGAUACUGGCGGACUAGAGGGGGGUAGAGGAAAGCAGAAUUCCUGGUGUAGCGGUGAAAUGCGCAGAUAUCAGGAGGAACACCGGUGGCGAAGGCGGGUCUCUGGGCCGAUACUGACGCUGAGGAGCGAAAGCGUGGGGAGCGAACAGG